rnacentral:rRNA from 1 species
AGAGUUUGAUCAUGGCUCAGAACGAACGCUGGCGGCGCGCCUAACACAUGCAAGUCGGACGCACUCAGCAAUGGGUGAGUGGCGGACGGGUGAGUAACACGUGGGAACCUGCCCUGGGGUCUGGGAUAACUGCGGGAAACUGCAGGUAACACCGGAUGUGCCCUUAGGGGGAAAGUUUACGCCCUGGGAUGGGCCCGCGUCGGAUUAGGUAGUUGGUGGGGUAAUGGCCUACCAAGCCUUCGAUCCGUAACCGGUCUGAGAGGAUGAUCGGUCACACUGGGACUGAGACACGGCCCAGACUCCUACGGGAGGCAGCAGUGGGGAAUCUUGGACAAUGGGGGCAACCCUGAUCCAGCGACGCCGCGUGGGUGAUGAAGGCCUUCGGGUCGUAAAGCCCUUUUGCCGGGGAAGAUGAUGACGGUACCCGGAGAAGAAGCACCGGCUAACUCUGUGCCAGCAGCCGCGGUAAGACAGAGGGUGCUAGCGUUGUUCGGAAUUACUGGGCGUAAAGGGCGCGUAGGCGGCUCGUUUAGUCGGGUGUGAAAUCCCAAGGCUCAACCUUGGAACUGCAUUCGAUACUGGCGGGCUAGAGACCGGAAGAGGUGGGUGGAAUACCCAGUGUAGAGGUGAAAUUCGUAGAUAUUGGGUGGAACACCGGUGGCGAAGGCGGGUCUCUGGGCAACAACUGACGCUGAGGAGCGAAAGCGUGGGGAGCGAACAGGAUUAGAUACCCUAGUAGUCC